CUUGGGGCUGAAAUCUCAGAGCUCCGCUCGUCCUGAUCUCAAACUCUCCACCCGCCUGCCUCCGAGCUGACUCAUCUUCCGAGACCUGUGUGGUUAGAGUCCCGCAGAGAACCCCUUCCACAGCUGCCCUUCCCAGUGCUUAUUUCACAGCAGGCCACCGUGUCCAAGUGUGCUCCUCCACUCGGCAAAGACUGGGAGCACCUACGAUGUGGCAGACCCUGUGCGAAGCAAAGGAAGGAUUGAUGGGAAAGAGGAACGCUUGGCUUUUUAUGGGUGCGCUAGCAAACAUUUGGAACCAUGCCUGAGCACCUCCCAGGGUGGACUGAUAUCUCUCAACUGACAGAUCAACAGCUGGCGCAAACCUCUUUCCUUGGCUGCAUAUUUGAAUUUUUUUAUCAUUUAUUUGAUGGUGUCUUGUUUCUAAUUCUUUCAAAAA
ensembl:lncRNA